GUUUGUGACGCAGCCCCCACUCGUUUUAUCUAUAAAUAGGCUGCUUCUAUCAGUUGGAACCCUAUAUACAUCGUUUGUCUCUCUUUUCAGGAGUGUAUUGAUAUUAAUGAGCUUGUUUGUCUGUGAUUGUGCUUUGCCGAUGUCUUGUUGGAUCUGCUAUUCAAUAUAUUGCAGAGUCAUGACCGUGAUGAACAGCAAUUGUGUACCGCAGACACUGUGUUUCUGUGAGGGUGACACAUCUCUGUUUACAUGGACUACUUGAUUUCGUUUCUCAUCUGCAUUUGUUUUCUCUCCGUUUUCUUUUGCAUGGUAUGGUUUUUAUUGAUUGGGUAUUGUGGAUGGGAGGAGGAUAAAGCGAGGUGAUGAUAGAAAUUCAUGUCUGUCAAUCCACUGACUAUUAACAGUGUGAUGUUAUUAUGAAUCCCGACAGGUUCUGAUCGCCAAUUACCAAUUCCUUCCAUCAUAAAAGUCUACAGAUUUGUGUUUAAAAAGUGUUUUUUUUGUUGUUGUUCUUACUGAUAGAUAAUGUGUUUAUGUUGAGCUUAGUGAAGUUGGUUUCUUGAUUCUGAGAUGUUGUAUGUGUAGAUCUGUUUGUUGGGCAAGUGAUGAAUCUCAUUAUACUUGAUGGGUAAUUUGCGUCUGAAUUUCUAUUGAUGCGUAUCACCUUGGAGAACUGAUGCCUAGUUUUAUAGUAAAUUUUUCGUUCAUUUGUUUGAUGAAAUUUGUGUUAUCUGGUGGAUUAGUUUAACCUAUCUUUUUGAAUGUCUUUAUCACCAUGAAUGAUAAUUUAUCAUAGCAUGGUGAUAAAGAUAUUUAUGAAGUUAAGGUUACAUUUAUGGUACUAAUUGUCUAUUAUGAAGAUUACUUUUGGUAUUUUUGGUUGUGGUUCUCUCUUACAAGUUGCAUUAAAGUUUGUGCUCUGUCAAAUUGUUUUUCUCCAAUUGCUGAAGAAUAAAUAUAAUUGUUUCAAGUGAGGUUGGAAGGGGUCUCUUGCUUUUAAAUUAUUGUUAUGUGAAUCUCUGUUUGUUCGGCAAAUGAUGAAUCUCAUUUUAUUUUAUGGGUAAUUUGCGACUGAAAUUUAGUUGAUGCUUAUCACCUUGGAGAACUGAUGCCGAACCUUUUUAAGGUAAUUAUGUAUCUGUUUUGUUGUUGAGAGAGCCAAAGGUCAGGAAAUUUCGUGGCUGGAUGAAUGUAGUUUACUGAUGAAUAGUUACAACUAUUUCUUGAAUGUUUAUAUCAUUAUGAUAUGAUGUUUUUUGGUAACAAGAAGUGUACCACAUAAAGGCAUUGUAAUAUAGUGGUAUAAACAUUCAUCAAGUUAGAAUUUAAUUUUGGGUUUGGUAAAAUUUUCUAAUGAAAAUUUCCAAGUUAGGGGAAGCAUUGUGAUUUUCAGGUUUUUUUUUUUUAUUAUUUAUUAUGAAUUAUCAAAGUUUUUAAUUAAUUAAAUCAUAUCGGUUGGCCGGUUAAACCAGUUGUCGAUGGUCUAACCGAUACAAUUUGAAAUCCAGUUUUUAAAACAUAUGUUAAUACACAUUUUCCACAUACUGCCGAAAUACCUUCGGUGGGUGGUGGAGUGCUUGUAUGUUGAUUCACCAUAUUCUACCGUCUGAUCCAAGCAACCCUUGCCUAAAGAAGAUUAAUGAAAUGAUUUGCACCUGACAAAGCAACCGAGUCUUGUAUGUGAAGACCUUGUUGAGGAUUAAAGCAAAUAAUGAUGGAAAUGCAUUGGAAGAAGAGAAGCAGACAUUAGAGGAUCUUUAUGCACUGCAAUCUCUAUUUCAAGAGCAACAAUCUCUUCUGCUAAGGGACACUGAUCUUUGAAAUACUCAUGAACUAGAAUUUACAACAUUGUUUCCUAAAGUUUCACUGUCCUGCAAAAUCAAAGCUGAUGAAAUCAAGAAUACUAUCUCCUCGAGCUUCUCAAUUGAAAUUCUUAUAAUCCUGUUGUUCAAAUGAAUCAUAAAUAGAAUGAGCUUAUCAGCUUUAAUGGAA